AGAAUCAACGCUGGCGGCGUGCCUAACACAUGCAAGUCGAACGCGAAAGUCCCGAAAGGGGCAAGUAGAGUGGCAAACGGGUGAGUAACACGUGGGUGACCUGCCUUCGAGCGGGGGAUAACGUCCCGAAAGGGACGCUAAUACCGCAUAACAUCCUGCCUUUUAAGAGGUGGAGAUCAAAGCCGGGGACCGCAAGGCCUGGCACUUGAAGAGGGGCCCGCGUCUGAUUAGCUAGUUGGUGGGGUAAUGGCCUACCAAGGCAACGAUCAGUA
rnacentral:rRNA from 1 species